rnacentral:rRNA from 1 species
GACGUAGGGGGCAAGCGUUGUCCGGAAUCAUUGGGCGUAAAGCGCGUGUAGGCGGCUUGGUAAGUCCGUUCUGAAAGCCCGGGGCUCAACCCCGGGAGGCGGAUGGAUACUGUCGAGCUUGAGUCCGGAAGAGGCGAGUGGAAUUCCCGGUGUAGCGGUGAAAUGCGCAGAUAUCGGGAGGAACACCAAUGGCGAAGGCAGCUCGCUGGGACGGUACUGACGCUGAGACGCGAAAGCGUGGGGAGCAAACAGG